rnacentral:rRNA from 1 species
AGUGAAUAGAUACCCGGGUAGUCCCAGCUGUAAACGAUGCGCGUUAGGUGUAUCGGUGACCACGAGUCACCGAGGUGCCGAAAGGGAAACCGUGAAACGUGCCGCCUGGGAAGUACGGUCGCAAGGCUGAAACUUAAAGGAAUUGGCGGGGGAGCACCACAACAGGUGGAGCCUGCGGUUUAAAUCGGACUCAACGCCGGGAAGCUCACCGGAUAAGACAGCUGAAUGAUAGCCGGGUUGAAGACUCUGCUUGACUAGCUGAGAGGAGGUGCAUGGCCGUCGUCAGUUCGUACUGUGAAGCAUCCUGUUAAGUCAGGCAACGAGCGAGACCCACGCCAACAGUUGCCAGCAUGUCCUCCGGGAUGGUGGGGACACUGUUGGGACCGCCUCUGCUAAAGAGGAGGAAGGAAUGGGCAACGGUAGGUCAGCAUGCCCCGAAUUAUCCGGGCUACACGCGGGCUACAAUGGUCAGGACAAUGGGUAUCAACACCGAAAGGUGAAGGCAAUCUCCUAAACCUGUCC